GGAGGGGGAACCAGGAUGGUCUGGGAGGGGGGAACCAGGAUGGUCUGGGAGGGGGAACCAGGAUGGUCUGGGAGGGGGGAACCAGCAUGGUGAGGGGGGUCUGGCUUUGGCGUUUCAGCACUUAGGACGGUGCUUGGCACACAGUAGGCGAUUUCUCGGCUGAGUUUCCAGUCCUCGGAGCACGUGCAUGGGCAGGGGGCAGCGGCGGGAGCACUGACUGCUGUCUGGCUGCCCCAGGUUCCAGGGCAGGCUCCGAGGCCUGGGUCUCUGAGGGGAAACCGGUUUAGUUCGAGAACUCGGUUAAGGCAGGAAGACGCCUGGCUCCCUUGGGGGGGGGGGGGCGAGAACUCCUGGGUCCUUGGGGGGAAGGGGAGGAAAGACUGAGGAGCCAGGGUACCUGAGGGGCGGGGGCGGGGGGGGGGCAAUGCCGGUAGGGGAGGGCAGUACGCCGGGGUCCCCGCAGAGGAGGGGUGGGGCCGGGAGGCCGGGGUCCGAUCCUCGGGCUGAGGCUGGGGCGGGGGGCUGGGGGCGGAGCCGCCAACCUGCGGGCUAGGGGGGCGGGGGCGGAGCCGGGCCGGGGCUGCGGCGGCGGCUGCGGCGGUGGCGGCUCCGGCUCCGGCUCCGGCUCCGGGUCCUGUGGCAUCUCCCAGAACGUGGGGGACCGGGCUGGGGGGGGUCGUCUCCCCUCCGCUCUCCCCAAUGGGCUCUUCCCGCCCGCCCCGAAUGCCCCCUAGGACUCGGCAGGAAUAAGGACAAGGACAGGACACCCAGCAGUCAUGUCAGGGGACUAUGAGGAUGACCUUUGUCGCCGGGCUCUGACCUUAGUCUCUGACCUGUGCUCCCGGAUCCAGGAUGCUGAUGAGAAAUGCCAGGAGUUUUGGCGGAUCCGAGGCUAUCCCCGGCCCUCAGAUGCAG
rnacentral:lncRNA from 1 species